CCUACGGGAGGCAGCAGUGAGGAAUAUUGGACAAUGGGCGCAAGCCUGAUCCAGCCAUGCCGCGUGCAGGAAGACGGUCCUAUGGAUUGUAAACUGCUUUUAUACAGGAAGAAACACCUCUACGUGUAGAGACUUGACGGUACUGUAUGAAUAAGCAUCGGCUAACUCCGUGCCAGCAGCCGCGGUAAUACGGAGGAUGCAAGCGUUAUCCGGAAUCAUUGGGUUUAAAGGGUCCGUAGGCGGUUUAAUAAGUCAGUGGUGAAAGCCCAUCGCUCAACGAUGGAACGGCCAUUGAUACUGUUAAACUUGAAUUAUUAGGAAGUAACUAGAAUAUGUAGUGUAGCGGUGAAAUGCUUAGAGAUUACAUGGAAUACCAAUUGCGAAGGCAGGUUACUACUAAUAUAUUGACGCUGAUGGACGAAAGCGUGGGGAGCGAACAGGAUUAGGUACCCUGGUAGUCCACGCCGUAAACGAUGGAUACUAGCUGUUCGGAGCAAUCUGAGUGGCUAAGCGAAAGUGAUAAGUAUCCACCUGGGGAGUACGUUCGCAAGAAUGAAACUCAAAUGAAUUGAGG
rnacentral:rRNA from 1 species